rnacentral:rRNA from 1 species
UUGCCGGCGACCGGCGCACGGGUGAGUAACACGUAUGCAACCUGCCCGUCUCAGGGGGAUAAUCGUCGGAAACGGCGUCUAAUACCCCGUAUGAAGCUGGACGGCAUCGUCUGGUUUUGAAAGAAUAUCGGAGACGGAUGGGCAUGCGGCGCAUUAGCUAGUUGGCGGGGUAACGGCCCACCAAGGCGACGAUGCGUAGGGGUUCUGAGAGGAAGGUCCCCCACACUGGUACUGAGACACGGACCAGACCCCUACGGGAGGCAGCAG